AUCCCUGUAGCGCAAUGGAUAUCGCGUUGGACUUCUUAUCCAAAUGUCAUGGGUUCAAUUCCCACCUGGGAUG
rnacentral:tRNA from 1 species